AAUAAACGAAUUUCUAAGUUUUUGGAUAGGAUUUUUGACUCUUCGUCUUAUUUGAAAUUUUUUUAUGAUUAAUAUUUUUAUUGUUAAACAUAAAUAGUAUUUUACAUGUGACUAAUUUUUUUAUUUUUUAAUAAUUUUUUCAAAUAAGACGGAUGAUCAAACGCUUCGUACACAAAACUCAGA
rnacentral:pre_miRNA from 1 species